rnacentral:rRNA from 1 species
UACAGAGGUGGCAAGCGUUGUUCGGAAUUACUGGGCGUAAAGGGCGCGUAGGCGGUCUUCUAAGUCCUGUGUGAAAUCCCUCGGCUCAACUGAGGAACUGCACGGGAUACUGGAAGACUUGAGUUCGGGAGAGGGAAGCGGAAUUCCGGGUGUAGCGGUGGAAUGCGUAGAGAUCCGGAAGAACACCGGUGGCGAAGGCGGCCUGCUGGGACAUUGCUGACGCUGAGGCGCGACAGCGUGGGGAGCAAACAGG